rnacentral:lncRNA from 1 species
CUGGCUUUGACUGCUGAGCACCCGGGAUGGGAACCAGAGAAGACUGAGCCAGAAAACUCGUGAAGACCUCAGGACCAUGGGUAGCAGGAAUAAGUGCUCACAGGCUAGUCCGAAGGGCAGCAUUGAACCUGAGUCUUCAAAGUGAAUGGGAGCUUUCCAGGCACUGAGGUGAUGCUGGGGUUGCAGUGAGCUGUCAAACUAGAUGUGUCAGAAAUGAGAAAGGAGAUGAGAGAACAAAUUAGAAUACAGAGUGAUCGACACUUUGAUGAAGGAAGUAAGUGGAGCCUGGGGUCCAUGAAACCCACUGCCAAACCAACCCAGACAGAGACAAAGUAUCCCUAUGUUUCCCAGGCUGAUCUCAAACUCCUGGCCUGAACUGACCUCCUGCCUCAACCGACCUCCUGCCUCAACCUCCAAAGCACUGGGAUUAACAGCAUAAGCCACUGUGCCCAGCCUAAUUUUUACUUUUCAACUUUGUACGUUGCGGUGUUUUUAAUACCCCUGCCAAGACCACAGUUUUAGGUAAACCGCCAUCCUGCCUAUACCCAUGUCCCUGUUCCCUUUCCUAGCUGUGUGACCUUGGGAAGUUCCCUUGCCUCACGAGGCAUCAACUUGCUCUUCUGUUAAACGGGGACAACAGAACCCCGUGAGACACUCUGACAAUCACAUGAAGCUAUGUGAAUAAAACAUGGGCCUAGUACAUAGCGAGUGUACAGCAGCUGCUCACUAGUCUUUCAACAAGUAGCGACUGAGAGUCUAUUACAUGCAGGCACAGGCAUAGGUGCUGGGGAUACAAGAAUGAGCAAAACACUGGUAAUGGGACAGACUGAUGGUAACGGGACAGACUGCUGGCAUAUUGGAAAUUCAGAAAACUCCCUGCCCUCCCAGUGGCAGGAGGUACAGCAAGCCGGCAAGUAAGUAAAAUACACUGGAUGUCAGAGGGUGGUGCUCAGUGUUGUGUGAGCAUCAAAGCAAAGAAAAGAAGAAGGGUGCUAAGCAGGGCUUAGACAUUUAAAUAAAGCCAUCAAGGAAAACGUUGCAGAGAAGAUAAUAUUUGAAUAAAAACUCAAAGAGGGUAAGAGUACAAAUUAUGCUGAUGUCGG